UAGGGAAUCUUCGGCAAUGGACGAAAGUCUGACCGAGCAACGCCGCGUGAGUGAAGAAAGGUUUUUCGGAUCGUAAAACUCUGUUGGUAGAGAGGAACGUUGGUGAGAGUGGAAAGCUCAUCAAGUGACGGUAACUACCCAGAAAGGGACGGCUAACUACGUGCCAG
rnacentral:rRNA from 1 species